CACGCCCCUCCCAAAUCACCAUACCAAAAUAAGAGGAAUACAUACCCACUACCCUCGUACAAACAAAGAAAAUUUCCCCAUGAUAACUACAAUUCUAUACCCCAAUCACCCAGAUAUCAAAAUUCCUCUGGUUUCAAUUUCUCACCUAAACCACAAAGAUCCAGGUACACUAAUGAUCAUAAUGAGUAUUCGAAUUACUCUAAAU